GACGAACGCUGGCGGCGUGCCUAAUACAUGCAAGUCGAACGCUGAAGGAGGAGCUUGCUUCUCUGGAUGAGUUGCGAACGGGUGAGUAACGCGUAUGUAACCUGCCUGGUAGCGGGGGAUAACUAUUGGAAACGAUAGCUAAUACCGCAUAAGAGUAGAUGUCGCAUUACAUUUGCUUAAAAGUUGCAAUUGCAUCACUACCAGAUGGACCUGCGUUGUAUUAGGUAGUUGGGGAGGUAACGGCCCACCAAGGCAAAGAUACAGAGCCGACCUGAGAGGGUGGAUGGGCACACUGGGAACGAGACAACGCCCAGACCUCCUCGGGGAGGCGCCGUAGGGGAACUUCGGCAAUGGACCGAAGGCCGACCGAGCAACGCCGCGUGAGUGAAGAAGGUUUUCGGGUCGUAAAGCUCUGUUGUAAGAGAAGAACGAGUGGGAGAGUGGAAAGUUCACGCUGUGACGGUAUCUUACCAGAAAGCGACGGCUAACUACGUG
rnacentral:rRNA from 1 species